GACGAACGGGAGGAGUUAACGGUGAGGAGCAAGAUCUCGUCGACCUUGGGUUUGAACACGGAGAUUUGAGAGUUCGCAUUAGAGAGCGAGAGCCUCGUAUUGCACAGCGACAAUUGAAUGUUGUUGUUGUUGUAGAAGAAGAACUUGUCCUUUGGAGCCGAGUGACGCCGCUGAGUUCGCUGGUUGGGUUUCAUGACGACACUUGGCUAUGGGUUUGAGUGGGAUUGUGAUUGGGGUUGUUGUGGUUUUGGGGGUGGUGGUGAUGACUUUGUUGGUGACGGUGAAGAAGAAGAAUGGUGGUGGAAGAAAGGGGUUGGAGGGGUGGUGAUGACUUUGUGUCCGAGUACAGCCUGUCCGUCUCAGAGCAAAAAACAGCGUCGUCGAGUUUCGUGACGUUUGAGCGUGGGUGAGGAAGUGGUCGAGGGAGGCCAGAAACAAGGUUUGUGCAUUGGGAACAUGGAAAUGGGUGGUGGAAGGAGGAGAAAAGGUGCAGAGGGGAGAGAGAGAAGAGGAACAUGAGUAGAGAGAAAGCCAGAAGGAAGAGGAUCAUCACCCUUCAUCUUUUCUACCUAUAAUCCUUCGGACAAAUAUUACUUGUGACACCA
rnacentral:lncRNA from 1 species